GUUUUGUUACGCUCAGUAUAUACUUGUCUUUAUUGAGAUGCUAAUUCAAGAACUGUCUGGUUAGCAUUGCCAUAAGCAGCAAUAAAGUUAUAUCAGCAUGCUAACCAAACAGUUAUCCGAGAUCGGAAAUUGUAGAGUUGUUUCCAUGACUUACUGCCCAUUUUACGCUGUACAUAAAGUUCACUGCUAUUGCUUGCUCCUUCAAGUGUUAUCUCCACUGCUGAAGCUAGAAUUAGUGUCUGAAACAUAUCAAGUUUUGAAGCAUCUCUCUUUCAUUUCA